rnacentral:rRNA from 1 species
CGGAGGGGGCAAGCGUUGUCCGGACUCACUGGGCGUAAAGGGCCCGUAGGCGGAAGGGUGCGUCGGUGCUGAAAGCGCCCGGCUUAACCGGGCGAGGCGUGCCGAUACGACCGUUCUUGAGGCCGACAGAGGGUGGCGGAAUUCCGGGUGUAGUGGUGAAAUGCGUAGAGAUCCGGAGGAACGCCUGUGGCGCAAGCGGCCACCUGGGUCGGACCUGACGCUGAGGGGCGAAAGCGUGGGGAGCGAACCGGAUUAGAUACCCGGGUAGUCCACGCCAUAAACGAUGCCAGCUCGGUGUCUGGGGCCGUUUUGGCCCUGGGUGCCUUAGUUCACACGGUAAGCUGGCCGCCUGGGGACUACGAGCGCAAGCUUA